rnacentral:misc_RNA from 1 species
UUUCCGUAGGUGAACCUGCGGAAGGAUCAUUAGUGAAUUUUGAGCGUCUCCUUAACGAGAGCUCGACCUCCACUUUCUAACUCUGUGCACCCAUUUAAGCUUGGCGUCUCGCUCCUUCACGGGAGCUUGAAGUCUUGCUUAUUUACCUUUACAAACAUGAAGUAAAAGAAUGUAAACAAAACCAUAACAAAAUAAAACUUUCAACAACGGAUCUCUUGGCUCUCGCAUCGAUGAAGAACGCAGC